AAGUGGAAAAGGAUGUGGCGUUGCUUAGACAACCAGGAUGUUGGCUUAGAAGCAGCCAUCAUUUAAAGAGUGCGUAAUAGCUCACUAGUCGAGUGAUUCUGCGCCGAAAAUGUACCGGGGCUAAACACACCACCGAAACUACGGGUGCCACGUAAGUGGCGCGAUAGGAGAGCGUUCUAAGGGCGAUGAAGUCAGACCGUGAGGACUGGUGGAGCGCUUAGAAGUGAGAAUGCCGGUAUGAGUAGCGAAAGAUAGGUGAGAAUCCUAUCCGCCGAAAGACUAAGGUUUCCUGGGGCAGGCUCGUCCGCCCAGGGUAAGUCGGGACCUAAGGCAAGGCCGAGAGGCGUAGUCGAUGG
rnacentral:rRNA from 1 species